UUGAGGUGUAAAAUUUAAUUAAGAAGUAAUUUACUUGAGUAUUACGAGUUGCACUGAAAAAUUCUGUUGCAGGAAUCUUAAAACUCAAAAGACUUGGCGGUGUCUUAAGUCCUUCUAGGGGAACCUGUCCUGUAAUCGAUAGUCCACGAUUUAUCUUUCCUUUUCUUGAAAGUACUCAGCUUGUAUACCGUCGUCGUCAGAUUACCUUUAAGAGUUAAAUAAGUUAUCGGAAAGAGAGUUAUAGAUUAAAUAUGUGUUUAGAACUUAGAAAUAGGUUAGAGCAAAUAUUUUAAAAGAGUAGUUUUCUGGAUGUCAGAUCAAGGUGCAGCUAAUGGAAAGGUAGAGAUGGGUUACAAUAAUUAUUUAUUAUUUACGGAUUUCUUAUUGUAAGUUAUGAGAAUUGAAGGUGGACUUAGAAGUAAUUAGUAAAAAUAGAAAGUUCUGGUGAAAACGGCACUAAGACGUG
rnacentral:rRNA from 1 species